rnacentral:rRNA from 1 species
UACGUAGGGGGCAAGCGUUGUCCGGAUUUAUUGGGCGUAAAGAGCGUGUAGGCGGCCAGAUAGGUCAGCUGUGAAAACUCGAGGCUCAACCUCGAGAUGUCGGCUGAAACCAUCUAGCUAGAGUCCGGAAGAGGAGAAUGGAAUUCCCGGUGUAGCGGUGAAAUGCGCAGAUAUCGGGAAGAACACCCGUGGCGAAGGCGGUUCUCUGGGACGGUACUGACGCUGAGACGCGAAAGCGUGGGGAGCGAACAGG